GAGCUCUGACGGCCUCUCCUGGGCUCCUGGCGGCGGGCUCGUCAUUUACCAUUGGGAGACUGUGGCCGCUAGUUGUGGUUUCUCAGUGACCAGUAUGAAGAAGGGAGGACCCAAGAAGGAGGGUGGAGACACCGAGCCGGCUGGCUCCCCGGCCAAGGAGGACAAGAAGCCUGCCAAGGAGGCCGCCCCCAAGAAGGAGGCCGCCGCGAAAGAAAAGGGCGGCAAAAAAGGCGGUAAGAAGUGAUCUUUGGCGAAGUUCGCCAACAAGAGCUUGCUUCAUGUCACAUUCCACUCCUCAAGGCACCUCAAGGCACCAAUUCAAGGCAUAUGGAGAAAAACGCUUCCACCAUUCCCUGCCAGCAAACGCUUGAGAACAGGCAGAACUGCUUUGUUGGGCACGCCAAGGAGAGAGCAAUGUGACUUGUGAGCGU